CAGUCGCCGCGGUAAUACGUAUGUCACAAGCGUUAUCCGGAUUUAUUGGGCGUAAAGCGCGUCUAGGUGGUUAUGUAAGUCUGAUGUGAAAAUGCAGGGCUCAACUCUGUAUUGCGUUGGAAACUGUGUAACUAGAGUACUGGAGAGGUAAGCGGAACUACAAGUGUAGAGGUGAAAUUCGUAGAUAUUUGUAGGAAUGCCGAUGGGGAAGCCAGCUUGCUGGACAGAUACUGACGCUAAAGCGCGAAAGCGUGGGUAGCAGACAGGAUUAGAUACCCCGGUAGUCCCUGUCUCUUAUACA
rnacentral:rRNA from 1 species